ACGCUCGACACCUACGGGAGGCAGCAGUCGGGAAUAUUGCGCAAUGGGAGGAAACUCUGACGCAGUGACGCCGCGUAUAGGAAGAAGGUUUUCGGAUUGUAAACUAUUGUCGUUAGGGAAGAGAAAGGACAGUACCUAAGGAGGAAGCUCCGGCUAACUACGUGCCUGCAGCCGCGGUAAUCUGAGCGGGCUGGCAAGGC
rnacentral:rRNA from 1 species